GCCUAAUACAUGCAAGUCGAGCGAAGUUUUUCUGGUGCUUGCACUAGAAAAACUUAGCGGCGAACGGGUGAGUAACACGUAAAGAACCUGCCUCAUAGACUGGGACAACUAUUGGAAACGAUAGCUAAUACCGGAUAACAGCAUUAACUGCAUGGUUGAUGUUUAAAAGUUGGUUUUGCUAACACUAUGAGAUGGCUUUGCGGUGCAUUAGCUAGUUGGUGGGGUAAAGGCCUACCAAGGCGACGAUGCAUAGCCGACCUGAGAGGGUGAUCGGCCACACUGGGACUGAGACACGGCCCAGACUCCUACGGGAGGCAGCAGUAGGGAAUCUUCCGCAAUGGGCGAAAGCCUGACGGAGCAACGCCGCGUGAGUGAAGAAGGAUUUCGGUUCGUAAAGCUCUGUUGUUAGGGAAGAAUGAUUGUGUAGUAACUAUACACAGUAGAGACGGUACCUAACCAGAAAGCCACGGCUAACUACGUGCCAGCAGCCGCGGUAAUACGUAGGUGGCAAGCGUUGUCCGGAAUUAUUGGGCGUAAAGCGCGCGCAGGUGGUUUAAUAAGUCUGAUGUGAAAGCCCACGGCUCAACCGUGGAGGGUCAUUGGAAACUGUUAAACUUGAGUGCAGGAGAGAAAAGUGGAAUUCCUAGUGUAGCGGUGAAAUGCGUAGAGAUUAGGAGGAACACCAGUGGCGAAGGCGGCUUUUUGGCCUGUAACUGACACUGAGGCGCGAAAGC
rnacentral:rRNA from 1 species